GACGAACGCUGGCGGCGUGCUUAACACAUGCAAGUCGAACGGAAAGGCCCUGCUUUUGUGGGGUGCUCGUGUGGCGAACGGGUGAGUAACGCGUGAGUAACCUGCCCUUGACUUUGGGAUAACUUCAGGAAACUGGGGCUAAUACCGGAUAGGAGCUCCUGCUGCAUGGUGGGGGUUGGAAAGUUUCGGCGGUUGGGGAUGGACUCGCGGCUUAUCAGCUUGUUGGUGGGGUAGUGGCUUACCAAGGCUUUGACGGGUAGCCGGCCUGAGAGGGUGACCGGCCACAUUGGGACUGAGAUACGGCCCAGACUCCUACGGGAGGCAGCAGUGGGGAAUAUUGCACAAUGGGCGGAAGCCUGAUGCAGCAACGCCGCGUGCGGGAUGACGGCCUUCGGGUUGUAAACCGCUUUCGCCUGUGACGAAGCGUGAGUGACGGUAAUGGGUAAAGAAGCACCGGCUAACUACGUG
rnacentral:rRNA from 1 species